CUAUACUUCAAAUCUGAACAGUUUUGUGGGGGGAAAUGACCUAUCUAGCAACAAUAAACUGUACAAAAAAAGACAUCCUACGUGCACGCCAUUGCACAGCUCGCGCGCACGCUCUCUUCAAAAGUGGGGACUUUUCAAUAACGUUUGACGUCACACAUCAGCUGCACAGCGCUCGUGAGGAUGCAUCGGAGGGGAGGAGGGAAAGAGCACGGGGCGCUUAAACUACACAGUGAGGGAGUGUGUUGUUGUUCUUCACCGUCCGUUAUUUUUGUUGCUUUUAUGUCCCAGUUUAUGACACAGCGCGCCUUAGAUUCAAGCCAACGAUUCAGAUAACUGUAUUCCUCUCCACGGUGCCAAGAUGUUCAGUUUUGGUUGUUUAAUUUGAUACGGGCUCAGCCUCUGACACCCAGGUGAUUUUUGAACGCUCCUCCCUGGUGGUGAACUGAUAGCGAGAGGAUGUUGGAAUGGAUUUAGAUAUAACUCUGUCUGUAAUGUCGAGAAGCUUUGCUGAAUUUUCACCCGUAAAGCAUGGUUUCUUGCAAGCCUGAAUAUUCUGUCUGACCUUAGUGGACAUUGCUGCUCUUUUGACUCGAACAUUAACUGGUCCCGUUUUCGAACAUCAUACGGAGGACUUCAGAGAGGAUUAAUGCAUUUAUACUCGAUAAACUAUUCUGCAUUUCAUCAGAGGACAUCAGAACUUAACAAGGCACGAUCAAAGCUCAUUAGAUAACUCACACCUCCAUGACUCAGCUCAAAGCUGAUGGAAGAGAAGGCGUCUAGCAAGCCCUCCAUGGUGUCCAGACUGCCGAAAUUUGGUGCCCGCCCGUCGGGUGGCACCACUGCACCCGUGGCCAAUGGCUCUGCCCACGUAACACCCGGCUCUGAGGGCAAGAGCGAACCUCCUGGAAAGCCCAACGGGUUGGUCCGUGCCUCGUCCUUCUCGCUGAAGUGGAGGAAGGAGAAUGGGGGUCCCGUGUCGCCCCAGAGCCCAGAGCAGGGCUCCGCGGCCGGGGAGAAAGUCGAGGGCCGAGGGGCUCUUCAGGCCUCUCCGGGGCCAAGGGAGAUCAAGAAGCCUGCCACUCCCUGCACCAAGGCCCGCCGCUUCGGCACCCCAGUGACCAUCAGCAGCCCCAAAGCCAUCCCCAAGCAAGCUUCCAAGAGGAACCAGAGUCCAAAACCCACGCCACGGCAGUCCCCCACCAGCCACCCGCCCAGCCCUCAGAGCAACGGCCCCAAACCGACCCAGAACGGGGCGGGCGGUGUGGGCUCGUCCUCCGGGUCCAACAGGGUUCCGGGUCUGCUGCGUCCCCGCGCCAGCUCCAUGUCCCCCCGCAGCAGCUCCCGGGACAGCCUGUCCCAGUCCAGCGACAGCCUGAAGACGCUGGCGCUCUCGUCCUCGGACAGCAUGGUGCGUUCGCAGAGCUUCACCCACUUCAAGCAGCUGCCCUCGCCCACCAGCGAGCCCAUUACCCGCUCCUUCUCCUUCAACCGGGCGGUGGAGCUGGCCAAGCCGCUGGCCAACACCCAGCUUCGCACGCCCAUCCUCAGGCCCCCACUGGUCCUCACCAAUGGCCGGACGUCGGGGUUGCAGCAGUUCGGCAAGGGGGGCUUUCACGAGCGCACCUCUGCCGGGACGCCCGGGGGGUUGGGGGGGUGCUCCACGCCUCCCAGCGCCCUGAGGAAGCCCCUCCUGCCCAACUGCGUGUUGACAAAGCCCUCGGGCCUGGCCUACCGACUGACACGGCCAGCCGGGAACAAGCCACAGCGCCCUCUGCUGGCUGGGAGGACAGUGGGCGAGGGGAAGGCGGAGGAGGGCAAAGGAGACGAGACUGCGACCAACAGCGACGCGUCACCACUCACCUCCCCAGAGCUCUCUGUCGACAGCGAGAAGGUGCUAGGUCCAGAUGAUCCUUCAGAGGACCCCUCCUGUCGAAGGGAGAAGGACCUCAGGCUUCCAUGUCAUGGGGAGGUGUUAGAGGACAUGUCCCUCUCCUCAGCCUCGUCCCUGGAGAGAAACGAUACUAGUGAGGAGUUCCUCGAUGACUUUGACAACCAGGGAGACCAAUCACAUGACAGCAUGCCUGACAACAGACAGCGAUUGGCCGCAUCCAGCCAGGCCCGGCUCCGCAGUUUUCUGAGCGAAACCAUUGACUGGACAGCAGGGAAGGCUGAUUAUGGGGUGCAGAGUUCCUGCGCCCCUCUGGCGGGGUCUCCAGAGCCAGAGGUCCCUCCAGGCUCCUCUCUGGAGCUAUCCCCCUCCAACAGCUCUGGGGGAACCUAUAUGUGGGACGAGGAGGGGAUGGAACCGAUUGGACACAACUCACACUGUUGCAGCACCUAUGAUUCAGAAGGCAUCUGUGGGGACAUUCUUAGCAACUUGGACCCCCUGGAGUCUUGUGACCUGGAGGAUGAUGACCUCAUGCUGGAUGUGGACCUGUCAGAGGAUGCACCUUUGUGUAGUGAUGCAGACGGGAUGGCCCACUUUGAGCGCUCGGACAGGGGGGGCCGCCAGGGCCACUGGAGGCGGAGGCAGCACCGACUGACUGGACCGGACCAUUUCCACAAUGACAACAGGCCUGUGGCGUAUGACGGCGUGUGUCGAAUGGGCCCCAGAGCCUUGCAGCAGCCUGCAGUGAGGGGCGACAGCCACACGGUGGCGCUAGAUGAGAUCACAUUAAAACACAUGGCCCAGGACUGCACCUUUGUCAAGAACCAGCUGCUGAAGCUAAAGACCCUCCUGCAGUUGGAGGAUGGAGCUGCAAUUCCUGAGAGUCCCGAAUCCAGUGAAGAUAGCAGUGCUCUUCAGGUGAGGCAGAGAGGUGUGUGUGUGUGUGUGUGUGUGUGUGUGUGUGUGUGUGUGUGUGUGUGUGUGUGUGUGUGUUUGUGUGUUUGUGUGUGUGUGUGUGUGUGUGUGUGUGUGUGUGUGUGUUCUACUGAUCCAGCUCCCAUGAGUGUAAUUGUGUAUGCGUGUGUCUGUGUGUGGCUUUUGAGGAAAAUGUCUGUGUCUGUCAGUGUCUUCUCAUUGUCUCCCCCCGGUGUUAACUCUGGAUAA
ensembl:lncRNA